GACAGAGGGUGCAAACGUUGUUCGGAUUUACUGGGCGUAAAGCGUGUGUAGGCGGCUUCGCAAGUUGGAUGUGAAAUCCCACGGCUCAACCGUGGACGUGCAUCCAAAACUGCGUCGCUAGAGUCUCGGAGAGGAAGGUGGAAUGCUUGGUGUAGAGGUGAAAUUCGUAGAUAUCGUGGAGAACACCCGUGGCGAAGGCGGGCUUCUGGCUAACAACUGACGCUGAGGUGCGAAAGCUAGGGGAGCGAACGGG
rnacentral:rRNA from 1 species